GUGAGGGAGGGUGUGACUAGUGACAGAGAGAGGGAGUGGGUGACUAGUGACAGAGUGAGGGAGGUGGUGAUUAGUGACAGAGGGAGGGAUGGGGUGACUAGUGACAGUCACCACCUCCUUCACUCUGUCACUAGUCACCCCCCCCUCACUCUGUCAUUGUGUCACCCCCUUCCUCACUCUGUCACUAGUCACCCACUCCCUCCCUCACUCUGUCACUAGUCACCCCCUCUCUCACUCUGUCACUAGUCAUCACCUUCCUUACUGUCACUAGUCACACACUCCCUCUCUCUGUCACUAGUCACACCCUCCCUCAC